rnacentral:lncRNA from 1 species
UAUGGUUUGUAACAUACCAGAUUUUGAUAUAAAGAUAAAAAUAAAUAAAAAUAGUGUAAGAAACUAUUUUUAUUGAAUUUAGAGAAGUAAAACAUAAGUCAGAAGUGACUUGUGCUGAAAUCGGACUGAAAACAGAAGAUUUAGAAUUUUCUGUUGGAAAUGGGACAAAUAAAUUAGCAGAAAAUGCACAGUGUCAGAAAAUUAUGAAAACUGGAGGAUAAGUCAGAAUCAAUUUUAUUAGGAUAGAUUUAAAGUUUCAUGUCAUUCUAACACCCGGAAGGUGGAAAAUAAAAUCCGACAGUUAACUGAUAAAGAUUACAGUUCGGUACAACUUUCGGUAAUCAAACGGGGUCGAAACUGAAAUAUUAAAAUUUUUU